GUCAAUGAUGAAACUCAGGAAUAGGAAGUGCCGUCUGAUGCGAUAACUGACGAGGUUUCUAAUCCGCUGUUC
ensembl:snoRNA Small nucleolar RNA SNORD49